rnacentral:rRNA from 1 species
CCUACGAGAGGCUGCAGUGGGGGAUAUUGCACAAUGGGGGGAACCCUGAUGCAGCGACGCCGCGUGGGUGAAGGAGCGUUUCGGCGCGUAAAGCCCUAUCGGCAGGGAAGAAGAUGACGGUACCUGACCAAGAAGCCCCGGCUAACUACGUGCCAGCAGCCGCGGGAAUACGUAGGGGGCAAGCGUUAUCCGGCUUUACUGGGGGUAAAGGGGGCGCAGACGGCAAUGCAAGCCAGGAGUGAAAGCCCGGGGCCCAACCCCGGGACUGCUCGUGGAACUGCAUGGCUGGAGUACAGGAGGGGCAGGCGGAAUUCCUAGUGGAGCGGUGAAAUGCGUAGAUAUUAGGAGGAACACCGGUGGCGAAGGCGGCCUGCUGGACUGUGACUGACGUUGAGGCCCGAAGGCGUGGGGAGCAAACAGGAUUAGAUACCCCUGUAGUC